GAAUGCUGACAUAAGUAACGAUAAAGCGGGUGAAAAGCCCGCUCGCCGGAAGACCAAGGGUUCCUGUCCAACGUUAAUCGGGGCAGGGUGAGUCGACCCCUAAGGCGAGGCCGAAAGGCGUAGUCGAUGGGAAACGGGUUAAUAUUCCCGUACUUGGUGUUACUGCGAAGGGGGGACGGAGAAGGCUAUGUUGGCCGGGCGACGGUUGUCCCGGUUUAAGCGUGUAGGUGUGUGUUCCAGGUAAAUCCGGUUCACUUUAACACUGAGGCGUGACGACGAGGCACUACGGUGCUGAAGCAACAAAUGCCCUGCUUCCAGGAAAAGCCUCUAAGCAUCAGGUAACAUCAAAUCGUACCCCAAACCGACACAGGUGGUCAGGUAGAGAAUACCAAGGCGCUUGAGAGAACUCGGGUGAAGGAACUAGGCAAAAUGGUGCCGUAACUUCGGGAGAAGGCACGCUGACACGUAGGUGAAGUGAUUUACUCAUGGAGCUGAAGUCAGUCGAAGAUACCAGCUGGCUGCAACUGUUUAUUAAAAACACAGCACUGUGCAAACACGAAAGUGGACGUAUACGGUGUGACGCCUGCCCGGUGCCGGAAGGUUAAUUGAUGGGGUCAGCGCAAGCGAAGCUCCUGAUCGAAGCCCCGGUAAACGGCGGCCGUAACUAUAACGGUCCUAAGGUAGCGAAAUUCCUUGUCGGGUAAGUUCCGACCUGCACGAAUGGCGUAAUGAUGGCCAGGCUGUCUCCACCCGAGACUCAGUGAAAUUGAACUCGCUGUGAAGAUGCAGUGUACCCGCGGCAAGACGGAAAGACCCCGUGAACCUUUACUAUAGCUUGACACUGAACAUUGAGCCUUGAUGUGUAGGAUAGGUGGGAGGCUUUGAAGUGUGGACGCCAGUCUGCAUGGAGCCGACCUUGAAAUACCACCCUUUAAUGUUUGAUGUUCUAACGUGGACCCGUAAUCCGGGUUGCGGACAGUGUCUGGUGGGUAGUUUGACUGGGGCGGUCUCCUCCUAAAGAGUAACGGAGGAGCACGAAGGUUGGCUAAUCCUGGUCGGACAUCAGGAGGUUAGUGCAAUGGCAUAAGCCAGCUUGACUGCGAGCGUGACGGCGCGAGCAGGUGCGAAAG
rnacentral:rRNA from 3 species